rnacentral:rRNA from 1 species
CCUACGGGGCGCAGCAGUGGGGAAUAUUGGACAAUGGGCGAAAGCCUGAUCCAGCCAUGCCGCGUGUGUGAAGAAGGCCUUCGGGUUGUAAAGCACUUUCAGUGGGGAAGAAAGCCUUGGGGCUAAUACCCUCGAGGAAGGACAUCACCCACAGAAGAAGCACCGGCUAACUCCGUGCCAGCAGCCGCGGUAAUACGGAGGGUGCGAGCGUUAAUCGGAAUUACUGGGCGUAAAGCGCGCGUAGGCGGUCUGAUAAGCCGGUUGUGAAAGCCCCGGGCUCAACCUGGGAACGGCAUCCGGAACUGUCAGGCUAGAGUGCAGGAGAGGAAGGUAGAAUUCCCUGUGUAGCGGUGAAAUGCGUAGAGAUCGGGAGGAAUACCAGUGGCGAAGGCGGCCUUCUGGACUGACACUGACGCUGAGGUGCGAAAGCGUGGGUAGCAAACAGGAUUAGAUACCCUUGUAGUC